rnacentral:rRNA from 1 species
CGGCGGCCCGAGUGGUGGCCGCUAUUAUUGGGCCUAAAGCGUCCAUAGCCGGGCCCGUAAGUCCCUGGCGAAAUCCCACGGCUCAACCGUGGGGCUUGCUGGGGAUACUGCGGGCCUUGGGACCGGGAGAGGCCGGGGGUACCCCUGGGGUAGGGGUGAAAUCCUAUAAUCCCAGGGGGACCGCCAGUGGCGAAGGCGCCCGGCUGGAACGGGUCCGACGGUGAGGGACGAAGGCCAGGGGAGCGAACCGGAUUAGAUACCCGAGUAGUCC